AACCGACGGACAGCGGCGAAAGGGAGAGUAACGCGUGGUUACGUGCCCCGAAAACCGGGAUAGUGUUGGGAAACUGGCAGUAAUACCGGAUAAUAUCUUCGGAUCAAAUGGUGUGAUUCCGCUUUGGGAUCGGACCGCGUACUAUUAGCUUGUUGGCGGGGUAAUGGCCCACCAAGGCUCAGAUGGUUACCGGGUGUGAGAGCAUGGCCCGGCUCACUGGGACUGAGACACUGCCCAGACAUCUACGGAUGGCUGCAGUCGAGAAUCUUCGGCAAUGGACGAAAGUCUGACCGAGCGACGCCGCGUGCGGGAUGAAGGCCCUCGGGUUGUAAACCGCUGUCAGUUAGGAGGAAAUCUAUGAGGGCACUCUCUCAUAGUUGACCGAUUUUCAGAGGAAGGACGGGCUAAGUUCGUGCCAGCAGCCGCGGUAAGACGAACCGUCCAAACGUUAUUCGGUAUCACUGGGCUUAAAGCGUGCGUAGGCGGCUUGGUAGGUGAGAUGUGAAAGCCCACGGCCCAACCGUGGAAUUGCGUUUCAAACCAUCAAGCUCGAGGAAGAUAGGGGUGAUGGGAACUUAUGGUGGAGCGGUGAAAUGCGUUGAUAUCAUAGGGAACACCGGUGGCGAAAGCGCAUCACUGGAUCUUUUC
rnacentral:rRNA from 1 species